GAUGAACGCUGGCGGCGUGCCUAAUACAUGCAAGUAGAACGCUGAAGCUUGGUGCUUGCACCGAGCGGAUGAGUUGCGAACGGGUGAGUAACGCGUAGGUAACCUGCCUCUUAGCGGGGGAUAACUAUUGGAAACGAUAGCUAAUACCGCAUAAAAGUCGAUAUCGCAUGAUAUUGAUUUGAAAGGUGCAAAUGCAUCACUAAGAGAUGGACCUGCGUUGUAUUAGCUAGUUGGUGAGGUAACGGCUCACCAAGGCGACGAUACAUAGCCGACCUGAGAGGGUGAUCGGCCACACCGGGACUGAGACACGGCCCAGACUCCUACGGGAGGCAGCAGUAGGGAAUCUUCGGCAAUAGGGGCAACCCUGACCGAGCAACGCCGCGGGAGUGAAGAAGGUUUUCGGAUCGUAAAGCUCUGUUGUAAGAGAAGAACGAGUGUGAGAGUGGAAAGUUCACACUGUGACGGUAACUUACCAGAAAGGGACGGCUAACUACGUG
rnacentral:rRNA from 1 species